GACGAACGCUGGCGGCGUGCCUAACACACGCAAGUCGAACGGAACUGUUUUGGAGCUUGCUUUGAAACAGUUUAGUGGCGGACGGGUGAGUAACGCGUGAGGAACCUGCCUUUCAGAGGGGGAUAACGUCUGGAAACGGACGCUAAUACCGCAUGAUAUCUCGAGGCCGCAUGGUCAUGAGAUCAAAGGAGCAAUCCGCUGAAAGAUGGACUCGCGUCCGAUUAGCCAGUUGGCGGGGUAAUGGCCCACCAAAGCCGCGAUCGGUAGCCGGACUGAGAGGUUGAACGGCCACAUUGGGACUGAGACACGGCCCAGACUCCUACGGGAGGCAGCAGUGGGGGAUAUUGCACAAUGGAGGAAACUCUGAUGCAGCAACGCCGCGUGAGGGAAGAAGGUCUUCGGAUUGUAAACCUUUGUCCUCGGUGACGAUAAUGACGGUAGCCGAGGAGGAAGCUCCGGCUAACUACGUGCCAGCAGCCGCGGUAAUACGUAGGGAGCGAGCGUUGUCCGGAUUUACUGGGUGUAAAGGGUGCGUAGGCGGCUCUGCAAGUCAGGUGUGAAAACUAUCAGCUUAACUGAUAGACUGCAUUUGAAACUGUGGAGCUUGAGUGGAGCAGAGGCAGAU
rnacentral:rRNA from 1 species